rnacentral:rRNA from 1 species
AACGUAGGACACGAGCGUUAUCCGGAGUUACUGGGCGUAAAGGGCGCGUAGGUGGUGCGAUAAGACUGGUGUGAAAGCCUUCGGCUUAACCGAGGGAGGACACUGGUGACUGUCGGACUUGAGGCAGAUAGAGGGGUGUAGAAUUCCGGGUGUAGUGGUGAAAUGCGUAGAGAUCCGGAGGAAUACCAGAGGCGAAGGCGGCACCCUGGGUCUGACCUGACACUGAUCCGCGACAGCAUGGGGAGCGAACGGG